UUCUAUGGGACCAGAUGCAAGAUUCAGAGAAAGAAAUUUGAAAGAAAGUAAAGAUGUACUGUCCAUUUUGUGGAACUGCCGCCAUAAAUUCUGCAGACUUUUGUUGUCAAUGUGGCAGAAACAUAAAAGUUGUCCAAGAUCAUGUAAACAAAGCCCAAGAUGAGAGGAACACUACCACUGCAACUCCCGAUGUUCAACCAAACACAGCACAGGUUUCAGUGGACAGAGUUCAAGUGAUGAUGACAGUGAAGUUCAUGUAAGGUUGCCAUCUCAAGAUAGUCCACUAUCUGACACUGUGGUGUGGGAUGGUCCAGAUGAAGCAAGCACUCCAAGACUGGAGAAAAUUUUGAAUGGGCCUUUUGGACACACAGAACAAGGGUCUGAUCAGCAACUACACAAAUGUGUACGCACCAAUAAUUGUUGACAGCGACUCUGAGCCAGAUGAAUAUCUGAUGCAGUUCCCUG